rnacentral:rRNA from 1 species
CCGACAAGACGGAGGAGGCAUGUGGUUUAAUUUCGAUGAUACGCGAGGAACCGUUACCUCGGGCUCGAACGUAAGAUGACUGUAGGUGAAAGCUUACAUCUCUCCGGAGCAUUUUACGAGGUGCUGCAUGGUUGUCGUCAGCUCGUGCCGUGAGGUGUCGGGUUAAGUCCCAUAACGAGCGCAACCCUACCUUAGUUGCCAUCAGGUUAAGCUGGGGACUCUAAAGGAACUGCCUACGCAAGUAGUGAGGAAGCGGGGAUGACGUCAAAUCAGCACGGCCCUUACGUCCAGGGCUACACACGUGCUACAAUGGCCGAUACAGAGGGCAGCUACCUGGUGACAGGACGCAAAUCUCCAAAGUCGGUCUCAGUUCGGAUCGGAGUCUGCAACCCGACUCCGUGAAGUUGGAUUCGCUAGUAAUCGCGCAUCAGCCAUGGCGCGGUGAAUACGUUCCCGGGCCUU